UGGGGAAUAUUGGACAAUGGGGGAAACCCUGAUCCAGCCAUGCCGCGUGAAUGAUGAAGGCCUUCGGGUUGUAAAAUUCUUUUGGCGGGGACGAUGAUGACGGUACCCGCAGAAUAAGCUCCGGCUAACUUCGUGCCAGCAGCCGCGGUAAUACGAAGGGGGCUAGCGUUGUUCGGAAUUACUGGGCGUAAAGAGCGCGUAGGCGGUUUGGCAAGUAGAGUGUGAAAGCCCAGGGCUCAACCCUGGAACUGCAUUCUAGACUGCCUCACUUGAAUUCGGUAGAGGUGAGUGGAAUUCCCAGUGUAGAGGUGAAAUUCGUAGAUAUUGGGAAGAACACCGGUGGCGAAGGCGGCUCACUGGACCGACAUUGACGCUGAGGCGCGAAAGCGUGGGGAGCAAACAGG
rnacentral:rRNA from 1 species